UUUCCGUAGGUGAACCUGCGGAAGGAUCAUUAAAGAACGCCCCGUUUUUUGAAAUGGGUAAUUCUAAACCGUGUAUGCAUACCUUUGUUGCUUUGGCAGGCCGCCCCUCAGGGCGUCGGCUCCGGCUGACUGCGCCUGCCAGAGGACCCAAACUCUUUUGUUUAGUGAUGUCUGAGUACUAUAUAAUAGUUAAAACUUUCAACAACGGAUCUCUUGGUUCUG
rnacentral:misc_RNA from 1 species